GACGAACGCUGGCGGCAUGCCUAAUACAUGCAAGUCGAGCGAACAGAUGAAGUGCUUGCACUUCUGACGUUAGCGGCGAACGGGUGAGUAACACGUAAGGAAUCUACCUAUAAGCGGGGGAUAACAUUCGGAAACGGGUGCUAAUACCGCAUAAUAUCUUCUUCCGCAUGGAAGAAGAUUGAAAGACGGCUCUGCUGUCACUUAUAGAUGACCUUGCGGUGCAUUAGUUAGUUGGUGGGGUAAUGGCCUACCAAGACGAUGAUGCAUAGCCGACCUGAGAGGGUGAUCGGCCACAGUGGGACUGAGACACGGCGCAAACGCCUACGGGAGGCAGCAGUAGGGAAUCUUCCGCAAUGGGCGAAAGCCUGACGGAGCAAUGCCGCGUGAGUGAAGAAGGCCUUCGGGUCGUAAAACUCUGUUAUAAGAGAAGAACAAAUUGUAGAGUAACUGCUACAGUCUUGACGGUAUCUUAUCAGAAAGCCACGGCUAACUACGUGCCAGCAGCCGCAGUAA
rnacentral:rRNA from 1 species